UAACAUGCCAUCUGCUUUCACUGUCAAACACGUUCUCGUUGUUAGUCGUCUCGCGCCACACUACGCAUGUGCAAACCGUAGUUCGAUAUAAAAGUUUUUGACGAAAAUGAAAACGUGUCAAUUUGUCAUUUUCACGAGAUUGGGGUAAUACCAUGUUCAACUACUUAAGACAUUUGCUCGAAUCUCGGUUUUGCCUUUAGAUUUUGAGAAAAUUAACAAAUAAGGAAUAAUUUGUCACUUCUCUCAUACCCCAAACCAUGACCUUCGCAAGCGUUCCAGGCAGUCUCGUGAUGUUGCGGCUUUGGGUUUAGAAACUGGAUAAUGUAGCUAGCUUUUUCCAACAACGGUUUCAAAAGGCCAGUAAUUUACAAUACCUGGCUGAAAAUUACGUUCUUGUUAUUAUAACCAAUUUGUUUUUUAAUUUAUGUAUGUAAUUUAGUAAAUGCAGCAGCUACCGCCUCAGUCUGGGACUAAAAGCGUCAUCAAUGGACGACUGCAAAUUCAUUAGGAUUAUAAAUUCUUCUGACGAGGAUGCGCACACACCCCUAGGAUGACAAGGAUUUGAAGACAUGUUUCUCAAAGAUGGAAUGGACUGUGAGAGAUGUGAGAGUGCACUACAGAAACUUGAAGAGGAACCACCUGGCUAUAGGGCUGAACUCCUCAGUACCUGCUUUUAUGAGGAGAGGCAGAUUUGAACUGGCGAACAAUGCUCCGCUUCUCGCACCCAGAAACUUCAAGGAGGAUGAGUGGACGCCUCGCGAGAGAUGCUGGAGUUAUGUAGUGAAAGCAGAGCAGAAAGAGAUGACCGUCACAGUGAAAGAAGAAGGAAAAAGAAGCUUUCGGAAUGAAAGGGGAGGCUCUGACAAGAUUUAAAGAAGAGGAGGACGUUACGGUGAAAGAGGGGGAGGAAGAGAUGACUGUCACAGUGAAAGAAGAGUAGGACGUUACGGUGAAAGAGGGGGAGGAAGAGAUGACUGUCACAGUGAACGAGAGGGAGGAAGAGAUGACUGUCACAGUGAACGAGAGGGAGGAAGAGAUGACUGUCACAGUGAAAGAGGGGGGAGGAAGAGAUGACUGUCACAGUGAAAGAGGAGAUUGGAGAUCUGAUUAACACCAGGAGUAAGUAUACCGUCUUAAAAAUGGGCACAACUGCUGUUGAACGAUGUUUGGUUUUAAAGGGGUUCUACUGAAGUUCUACACUUAUAUGUUCUAUACUGUAGGGAUUGUUAAAGCUACAAAUAUUAGAUUGCUUCCAACAUUAAUGGAGCAAAUACUCUCAUUAUAUUUGUCUCUCUUUCUGUAGUGCUUUGUUCAGUCUCAAUACUCAACAUACCAUGAUAGCAAAAAUGUUUUUUAAACGUGACUUGAAGCUCUACAUUGAUUUUUAAAAUCUCAAUGGUUUUAAUGUACCACUAGGCUAGUAGACUGGUAGGACCUACUGUCCUGAUCAGGUCAGGCUACAGGAGACCACAACCCUACAGAUUAUCUCUCAACCCCAACAGAGGAGGAGAGAUCUAGGGGUCUGAAGAUGUGGCGGGGGUUUAUGACCCCUCACGCCCCUGGUCAAUCUCAGGCCACAGACAAAUUCCUUUGUCCUGUUACUAUGGAGAACCAGCCUCAGAACAUUAAACAUGAAAUAAAGGGACUUUGGAACAAUGGUUUCCGUCAGCCACAAUGGUGGUCAUGACGAUAGAUGGAAUAUGAAAAUGUAUAACAUUUUUGUUUUGUUAUUAAAGGUUAAUAGAUGACGGUAUUACGAAAACAUUGUAACGUCAACAGUUUACCUAGUAUAUGUUUGAUGUUUAUACAUUGUACGUUGUAUGGAAAAUAUCCAAAUCAAAGAGAAUGUUUUUGGUAAAGAUGAAAUGUAAAGUUAGUUGUCUGAAAUUGGAUUUGAAUAAAAUCUAGACCAUGACCAUAACUUGGAACGCCCAGAGAAUUGCCCUAAAGGCGGUUACGCCCACUUCUCACACAAGGGCAUAAAACCUGUGAGUAAAGAAUUUACAGGAGACUACGUGACCCAAGCUGCAGCCAAGGUCUAAAAAGUCAACAAACCCAGAACGCAACACAAGUUUGAAGACAAAGAAAUCUUUUUCUACCCAAGCUACGGAUGAGUAGCUGUGUCUAAGCGGGUGAAUUCAAGCCGGACCCCCUAGCAUCCAAUCCCAGCGUAUCGUGGUAUCUAAACGGUUUCAUUCCUAUGCUGUGAGCUCUGAUCUUCAGAGCUGUCUGUCUUCAGAAGACCCCUUCCAGAGUAACGGUGAGGGAAGACUCCUAAGCCAAAAGGACACUGACAUUGUGAGGACGACCGGAAAGGUGCGCCGGAGAAGUGCGUCAUCGAGCAGCCUGAACGGUCCACGCAGAGAAUCCUCUGAGAUCUUCCCCACGUAAUUACAUCAUUAUAUUCUGACCCAUAAGAGUGGCAGUUUGGGGCAAGGCUAGGGUUAGAAUAGCAUAGCUGACAAAUUCACCCAAAUGUAUUUUUCUCUCGUGUACUUUCUUUUUCCUCUCUCCCUUUGAAAUCCCCAUUGUGUGUAACACGCGCCAUAGUGUGUUGGCCCGUUAUACUAAGUUCUAAUCAAUAGCCUAUAAUGUGUUUUGUCUAUGUGUAUCUUUUAUCAUCAUUUUAGCUUUCUAGUAAAUAAAUAUUCAACUAAGAUUGGUGUGGUACGAACUCAUUGGUGAGACCCGGGUCCUUGCAGAUUCACGGACUAUAUGACGUUCAGAACGAGAUUCAGUUAAUCACGCAAUUAGAAACUUUUAAUCAUUCAAUGAACAACAGUCGUCACAUUAACUAAUACAACGUCAUGACACUACCCUGAUACCACUAGACUGGUAGGACCUACCCAAUGAUAAAAGU